AGCUUGUUUGCAUGAUUGUGUACUGAAUCUGGAAUGAUACAAAGAACAUUAGGGCCCCUGCUUAAGUAGGACAGGGAAAUUUAUGAAGCGUUCAAUGCUUUU